ensembl:snRNA U6 U6 spliceosomal RNA
GUGCUCGCUUCGGCAGCACAUAUGCCAAAAGUGGAAUGAUACAGAGAAUUUUAGCAUAGCCCCUGCACAAGAAUGGCAUGCAAAUUCAUGCAGCAUUCCAUAUUUUU